CGGCCGUGGCGGGGUGGAGUUCUGAGAUUGGGACUGUCACUCAAAUUCAGCCAAUGCAGAGAAAAUUGCAGUUUCUCCCAACGUUGCGGUUCUGUGACCCCAGCCUUGGUGAAAACCCAAAUGGGUUUCCGCAGGACUGACUGCAGAUAACAAGAAAGCUUCGCUGAUAAGCAUCAGAGACGGUGUUCCAGUAAAGGCUGGUGGAGUAAGAAGGAAACAAAGCAAGAUGGUGGGUAUUGGGUUUUACCUCUAGAAUAAUGAGGCUGGGACAGUCCCAUAGUUAUUUAGUCUAUGAAGGGGAAGUCUAUAGUUAGCAGGUACUUUAGUUCUCUAUAUUGAUGUUUCACCUUACCCACCUCACUGUGUCCACACUGUGUCCACUUUGUCCACAAUCUACAAACAAUGUAAUUAUUACUGACAUUCGGUACUCAUUUCAUUGGCUCAUUUUACCAUUCUCUUUAAGUGUUUAAGAGAAUAUCAAGGAGUAGACUGCCUUGUCCUCUUCAUGAAUUAAACACAAAGAUUUAGUGUUUAAUGUAGAAUAUCCAGUUGGCUGUAGUCUUAAAAUGUAUAUUCUUUACUGACUUAAGAAAUGAUCCUUAGCUUCCUUAUCUAGUGAGAGGCUCUGUCCUGGCUGCUAACCACAGUAAUGGCUCUUACAUUCCCUCAAACGCAUUUUAGACUGUAAUUAUGGUUAUGAUUGCUCUCCACUGACCUAUUUUUGAGAUAAAUUAUGAUAGCAAACAUCCCAGUAAUAAGCAGAAUUACAUUUUUAGAGUAAGAGUUACUUGUUCACGAUAUAUUAUUCUUUUAAAAUAUAUGUGUGAGUGUACUCUAAUUUUACUAUUCUAUGUCUAUAUUCAGGCAUAUAGUGGGCUUGGAGGGUCCUUUGUGUGUGUUACAGUUGAUACUUAAUGGUCUCAGUCUUUAUUACAUAUCUAACACUUGCCUGUGUUGAGCACCUAAUAUGUGCUAGCACCAUGUAGGUCACUGGAAACACAAUAAUGAGUAAAAAUGGUCACGACCUCUGACCCACAAAUAAAUAUAAAAUUACCGACAUGAGAGUCACAUCAAGAAUAGUACAGGAUACUUGACUUGUGGGCCUCACGCUCUGUCCUCCUCACCCUCACCCUGUUCUCAUCUCACUGGAUGCUCAUAUCCCUUCCAUUACCAAGCUCACCAACCCCAGGGCAACUGUGAAUUCUGUUCUCUCAGGCCAAAAUGCUUGCCCUUCCCUUAUUUCCUCUGAUUAGCAAUUACCUGUCCCUCUUCUCAGAGCUCAGUAUUCUUAUUUCAGAGAGGUCUUUUCUAUCCACCUCUCCAGACUAAAUUUGCUCUCAAUGAUUUUUUUUUCUCUUAAUUGUAUUCUCGGCAGCUGUUCACAUGACCCUGUCCACUCUUCCUUCUGAGUAUACUAUUGUUUAGUAAAUUCUCAAUUUAUUUAAAAAAAUGUUACUUGCAUUCUCUAGGUAUAAUAGUACUGAGCAUUUUUUCUGUCAUGGAGACUGUAAACAUUUAUAAUCAUCCUAAAUUUGUCUUAUUUUUUCAGGAUGACUUAGAGAGCUAAAGCUUAGGCAGUUACCCUCAAGGAGAAGGAAGAGGAGAGCAUUCUUUUAAAAUUCUUUCGCCUUAGUCAUAAGGGACAUGGCUCCCUUAAGCUUUGUGUUAAUAGUGCAGUAAUGUAUCUCACCUUUCUUUAGAUCAUAAGCUCAUAAGUAUGCUUUUCUUAGGUUCUAUGUUAAUAAUUUUAACAAUCUAUUUUGCCUGGGAACCUGCUUCUCAAGCAACACCAUAUCUCAUCCGGAACCUGUUCCUUCUGGCUCAUCUCACUGUACUAAUGUUAUCUCAGGAUGCAUGCCUUGGGAAAGGGUCUGGUAGAAAUUUUACAAACUUGAGGUAGUCUUUAUAUCUAUUCUCAGCAGCCAGCUGAAAGGUAUAUAAAACCCUGCUAAAAUUCAUGAUGUGGGCACUCUUCUGUCCUUUGCAGUGUCUUUGCUGGAAGCUUUCUCUAUCACUGUUACUUUAAUAAACUUUGCUACAC